rnacentral:rRNA from 1 species
AAGUGGAUUAGUGGCGCACGGGUGAGUAACGCAUAGGUUAUGUGCCCCAUAGUCUGGGAUAGCCACUGGAAACGGUGAUUAAUACUGGAUACUCCCUACGGGGGAAAGUUUUUCGCUAUGGGAUCAGCCUAUGUCCUAUCAGCUUGUUGGUGAGGUAAUGGCUCACCAAGGCUAUGACGGGUAUCCGGCCUGAGAGGGUGAUCGGACACACUGGAACUGAGACACGGUCCAGACUCCUACGGGAGGCAGCAGUAGGGAAUAUUGCUCAAUGGGCGAAAGCCUGAAGCAGCAACGCCGCGUGGAGGAUGAAGGUUUUAGGAUUGUAAACUCCUUUUCUAAGAGAAGAUA